rnacentral:rRNA from 1 species
UACGUAGGGGGCUAGCGUUGUCCGGAAUCAUUGGGCGUAAAGCGCGUGUAGGCGGUCCGGUAAGUCCGCUGUGAAAGUCGAGGGCUCAACCCUCGAAUGCCGGUGGAUACUGUCGGGCUUGAGCUCACUAGAGGCAGAUGGAAUUCCGGGUGUAGCGGUGGAAUGCGUAGAGAUCCGGAAGAACACCGGUGGCGAAGGCGGUCUGCUGGGGUGAUGCUGACACUGAUGCGCGACAGCGUGGGGAGCAAACAGG